rnacentral:lncRNA from 1 species
GGGGGGGGGGGGGGGGGGGGGCCGGGCGCGGUGACGCGCGCCGUUCCCAUGGCGACCGCGGACGCCGCCGGCCCCGCGCGGGGCGGCGCCAGGCGGGCGGGGCCGGGAAGGGCGGGGGCUCCGGCACCCGGAAUGUGCGGGAGCGGGGCGAGCAGCCGCUCUCCGUGCCAAUGGCCCUGCUUUAGAGCGCUGGGAACCCUCUCUGGAGCGCCUUGGCACGCUCCUGAAGUGUUAAUGAUAAUUUCUACAGUAUCAUCUUUGCUAAUACCUCCAUUCAUGUUUUUAUCCUGGAGAAAGAGAGGAAAAUUGAAGAGGAUAUGUCACCAAUGUGGCAGUACUCGCUGCAUGGGGAAACAUUGGAACAUGGCUAUAUCUUAACCACUUUGAAAGUGAAAAGUCAUAUGUUCAUCCCAGAUGUUGUGGGCAUGAUCCUUGUGAUAUGAAUUCUUACAGACACCAGCACAACACAGAGAUAUGGAAGAAAGAGUGGGAAAUGCUGCUGAAAUUUACAAGGAAGAUCAAGUAAAUGCCUGUUAAGCAAAAGGUUUCAUAUAUUUUAUAUUGUUACAGUUCUAGAAAUGGUGGAUAACUUUAUACUUCUCUCCUUUUAUUUUCUUUUUUUU